rnacentral:lncRNA from 1 species
AAAAACAAAGACUGGAGAAGGUGGAAGGACCAUGGGAGAUGACUAUGAGACUUCUGAAUGGAAAUAUUGAAUUGAUAACUGGAACUCAACAUAGAGUUCAGAAGAGAAGUCUGAAGUAGUGAUACAUGUACGGGGGUUGUCAGCAUGGAGUAGGUCUUAAGGCAAUGAGACUGAAUAAAAUUACCAAGCGAGUGAAGACAGAGAAUUAAAGAGGAGAAAGGAUUAAUCCUUAAGGCCCUCCAAUGGCAAGACAAGAGAAUAAAGAAGUGCUCAAGAAGAAAACGAAAUAACCAGGAAGGCAUUGAUGUGUAGAGAUUUCAUGGUUGAGUUCUGAAUAUUUUUAACGUACAUUUUAAGCACCAGGCUAGCAGGCUGGAGCACAGGCCAAGGAGGAAGAGUAGCAGUUCAAGUCCAAAGCAGUCUCUAGGGAGAAUUCCCUCUUCUUUGAGGCAGAUUGGGCUUUUUCU